rnacentral:rRNA from 1 species
UACGUAGGUGGCAAGCGUUGUCCGGAAUUAUUGGGCGUAAAGCGCGCGCAGGUGGUUUCUUAAGUCUGAUGUGAAAGCCCACGGCUCAACCGUGGAGGGUCAUUGGAAACUGGGGAACUUGAGUGCAGGAGAGAAGAGUGGAAUUCCACGUGUAGCGGUGAAAUGCGCAGAUAUCAGGAAGAACACCCGUGGCUAAGGCGGCUCUCUAGUACGGUACUGACGCUGAGACGCGAAAGCGUGGGGGAGCGAACAGG